rnacentral:rRNA from 1 species
AUCAACGCUGGCGGCGUGCCUAACACAUGCAAGUCGGACGAGAAAGCGUAGGGCAAUACAUGAGUAAAGUGGCGUACCGGGUGAGUAACACGUGGACUGAUCCUACCUUUGAGUGGGGAAUAACCCUGGGAAACCGGGGAUAAUACCGCAUAACAGCCUCUGACGAUGUCUAGGGAUUGAAACGCAGAAAUGCGCUCAUUGAGAGGAGUCCGCGGCUGAUUAGCUAGGUUGGUAGGGUAACGGCCCUACCAAGGCUUAAGAUCGGUAGCCGGCCUGAGAGGGCGACACGGCCACACUGGCACUGAAACACGGGCCAGACUCCUACGGGAGGCAGCAGUGGGGAAUCUUGCACAAUGGGGGAAACCCUGACUGCAGCGACGCCGCGUGAGAUGAUGAAGACCCUUCGGGUUGUAAAGAUCUUUCGGCAGGGACGAAUCGAUUGACGGUACCUGAAGAAGAGGCCUGCGGCUAACUCCGUGCCAGCAGCCGCGGUAAUACGGGGGGGCAAGCGUUGUUCGGAGUUAUUGGGCGUAAAGGGCUGCGUAGGCGGUGUGGUAAGUCUGGUGUGAAAUCUCCAGGCUCAACUUGGAGGCUUGCAGCAGAAUACUGCCGUGCUAGAGUGUGGGAGAGGAGAGUGGAAUUCCUGGUGUAGCGGUGAAAUGCGUAGAUAUCAGGAGGAACACCGGUGGCUGUAGACGGCUCUCUGGACCGUAACUGACGCUGAGGACACGAAAGCGUAGGGUAGCAAACAGGAUUAGAUACCCUGGUAGUCCUACGCCUUAAACGAUGACAUCUUGGUAGUAGGCAGGUUAUCUGAUCCCUGUGCCGGAGCUAACGCAGUUAAUAUGUUCCGCCUGGGGAGUACAGUCGCAAGGCUGAAACUCAAAGGAAUUGACGGGGGCCCGCACAAGCGGUGGAGCAUGUGGUUCAAUUCGACGCAACGCGAAGAACCUUACCUGGGCUCGGAAUGUAGUGGUAAGUCGGCUGGAAAAGUCGUACCCGCAAGGGGCCGCUAUAGAGGUGCUGCAUGGCUGUCGUCAGCUCGUGUCGUGAGAUGUUGGGUUAAGUCCCGCAACGAGCGCAACCCUUAGCAUUUAGUUGCUAAGUCGCAAGACGGGCACUCUAAGAGACUGUCGGUGCCACAACCGGAGGAAGGUGGGGAUGACGUCAAGUCCUCAUGGCCUUUAUGGUCCAGGGCUACACACGUACUACAAUGGGCGGUACAGAGGCGUCGCAAGACCGCGAUGGGAGCCAAUCCGCUAAAAGCGCGUCCGUAGUCGGAUUGCAGUCUGCAACUCGACUGCAUGAAGUCGGAAUCGCUAGUAAUCGCGGAUCAGCACGUCCGCGGUGAAUACGUUCCCGGGUCCUGUACACACCGCCCGUCACAUCACUGGAAGCAGGGUUGCACUAGAAGCCGGUUCGCUUAACCGCAAGGAUGGCAGCCGUCCAAGGUGUGAGCUUAUGAUUGGGGUG